CCUCGGCGCGGCCUGAGCACCUGGCCUGACCCCGGCCAUGGGGUGCUGCUACAGCAGCGAGAACGAGGACUCGGACCAGGACCGAGAGGAGCGGAAGCUGCUGCUGGACCCUAGCAGCCCCCCUACCAAAGCUCUCAAUGGAGCCGAGCCCAACUACCACAGCCUGCCUUCCGCUCGCACUGAUGAGCAGGCCCUACUCUCUUCCAUCCUUGCCAAGACAGCCAGCAAUAUCAUUGAUGUAUCUGCUGCAGACUCACAGGGCAUGGAGCAGCAUGAGUACAUGGACCGUGCCAGGCAGUACAGCACCCGCUUGGCUGUGCUGAGCAGCAGCCUGACCCAUUGGAAGAAGCUGCCACCGCUGCCGUCUCUUACCAGCCAGCCUCACCAAGUGCUGGCCAGUGAGCCCAUCCCAUUCUCUGAUUUGCAGCAGGUCUCCAGGAUAGCUGCAUAUGCCUACAGUGCACUUUCUCAGAUCCGUGUGGACGCAAAAGUGGAGCUGGUUGUACAGUUUGGGAUCCCAUGAAGAGAGGGGUCCUUGGACAGCUCUUCUCCUCUCUUCAUCCCAUCUCUACCCCACCCCCUUAGCCCCCAGCCUCACUGUGGCUUAUACAGUACCCUAACCUGCUACUAAUCACAGAGAAGAAUGUGAAGAAGGAGGAAAAGAGGAAGGCUAGAAGCCUGAGCAAGUGAGGGUAGAACCUUUUGGGACUGGCCUUUGAAGCUGUGGCCAGGGAUGGGGUGGGGGCCAAAAGGACAGAGCCUGGUAUGUCGUCAUAGUCAUUGAGAAUGUGGAGAUACCAGUUUGGGUGGGGGGUGAUCACCAGGGCACCUAGGGAGAUCCCCUUCCCACCCUCUCUCUUGGCCUCAAAGUCACUCCUGCCCCCUCUCCCUGACUUGGUGCUCACAGGCACCUCACAAGGGUUUGUGACCAGGGUCUGGAUGAGCUUGAAUUUGAAUGAAUUCAGUUUGUAUUUCUAGAACCCUGGGUUUUUACAUGUUUAGUCUUUUUUUUUUGUUUUGGUUUGUCACCCUCGAUAAAGGAAGUAUAUUCAUCCAAAAAAAAAAAAAAAAGAAAAAGAAA